rnacentral:rRNA from 1 species
AUUGAACGCUGGCGGCAGGCCUAACACAUGCAAGUCGAGCGAGCGGCGGACGGGUGAGUAAUGUCUGGGAAACAGCCUGAUGGAGGGGGAUAACUACUGGAAACGGUAGCUAAUACCGCAUACCAUCAGAUGUGCCCAGAUGGGAUUAGCUAGUAGGUGGGGUACAGGCUAACCUAGGCGACGAUCCCUAGCUGGUGUGAGAGGAUGACAAGCCACACUGGAAUGUGGAAACGGUCCAGAUUCCUACGGGAUGCAGCAGUGGGGAAUAUUUCACGAUGGGCGCAAGCCUGAUGCAGCCAUGCCGCGUGUGUGAAGAAGGCCUUUGGGUUGUAAAGCACUUUCAGCGGGGAGGCGUUACCCGCAGAAGAAGCACCGGCUAACUCCGUGCCAGCAGCCGCGGUAAUU